rnacentral:rRNA from 1 species
AGAACGAACGCUGGCGGCAGGCCUAACACAUGCAAGUCGAACGCCCGUAGCAAUACGGGAGUGGCAGACGGGUGAGUAACGCGUGGGAACGUACCUUUCGGUUCGGAAUAACCCGGGGAAACUCGGGCUAAUACCGGAUACGUCCGCAAGGAGAAAGAUUUAUCGCCGAAAGAUCGGCCCGCGUCGGAUUAGCUAGUUGGUGAGGUAACGGCCCACCAAGGCGACGAUCCGUAGCUGGUCUGAGAGGAUGAUCAGCCACACUGGGACUGAGACACGGCCCAGACUCCUACGGGAGGCAGCAGUGGGGAAUAUUGGACAAUGGGCGAAAGCCUGAUCCAGCCAUGCCGCGUGAGUGAAGAAGGCCUUAGGGUUGUAAAGCUCUUUCAGCGGGGAAGAUAAUGACGGUACCCGCAGAAGAAGUCCCGGCUAACUCGUGCCAGCAGCCGC